UUAAUUUAUGUAUGCUUCGCGUUGCCACACUGGAUAUAGUGUAACAAUAUUUUGUGAUGCAUUUAUUCGUAUUGUUAUUUUCGAUUAGUUACUGUGCGACGCGAAAGUGGAAUAUUUUCGCCGGUGAUGUGGACUGCGCGGUGGGCCGCGCUCUAGGCGCGUUCUUUCCGAUGCCGGUCUCCGCCGUGAGCGGUCGUGUGUGGCAGGUGUGAACCGCGGACGCAGUGUGCGCCGGGUUCGCCGGAGUGAGGCGUGUGAACGCCUCGUGAGGCGUCGUGUCCCGAGGCCGUCGGUACGGGAGGCGUCGUGAGCGCCGACCCGAGGGGCGUCGUGAACGCCGACCCGAGGGGCGUCGUAACGCCGACACGAGAAGCGUCGUAGCGCGACCCCAGAGGCGUCGUGAACGCCGCGGUGCGCCGCCCAGGGCGCAGGAGCGCGGUUUUCGCCGGAGUCGGCGUCAGCGCCGUCAGUGGCGUGGAGGCGCCAAAGGCCGGUAAGAAUUACCUAUUGUACUCGUUUAUUUUCACCGGAUGUUGUUUCUUUACCGCGCCUGAUUAUUGAUGACUAGCCUAUCGAUUGAUGCGUAUUGACCCAUGUGAACUGCUGCUAACGGACGUAACCCGGUGCUGUGUGCACGUGCAGUGUGAGGCCCAACCUUUGAGGGCCAUUCGGGACGAUUUCCGUGAUUGUGUGUUAAUUUAUUGUAUCGUUUACAGAAACUAACACGAGUAGAAUACACUGCUCAGUAUUCGGCGGC
rnacentral:lncRNA from 1 species